GGUUAAGUGACUAAGCGUACACGGUGGAUGCCUUGGCAGUCAGAGGCGAUGAAAGACGUAGUAACUUGCGAUAAGCCCAGAUUAGGUAGUAACAACCAUUUGAGUCUGGGAUUUCUGAAUGGGGAAACCCACGUGCAUAAGCACGUAUCCUUACCUGAAUACAUAGGGUAAGGAGGCGAACCGGGGGAACUGAAACAUCUAAGUACCCCGAGGAAAAGAAAUCAACCGAGAUUCCGAAAGUAGCGGCGAGCGAAAUUGGACUAGCCCUUAAGCUUUACACGCGUUAGACGAACGGUCUGGAAAGUCCGACGAUACAGGGUGAUAGUCCCGUAGUUGACGACGUGUGUUCAGUGAAAUCGAGUAGGGCGGGACACGUGAUAUCCUGUCUGAAUAUGGGGGGACCAUCCUCCAAGGCUAAAUACUACUGACUGACCGAUAGUGAACCAGUACCGUGAGGGAAAGGCGAAAAGAACCCCUGUGAGGGGAGUGAAAUAGAACCUGAAACCGUGUACGUACAAGCAGUAGGAGCAGGCUUUGUCCUGUGACUGCGUACCUUUUGUAUAAUGGGUCAGCGACUUAUAUUCAGUGGCAAGGUUAACCAUCUAGGGGAGCCGUAGGGAAACCGAGUCUUAACUGGGCGUUCAGUCUCUGGAUAUAGACCCGAAACCAGGUGAUCUAGCCAUGGGCAGGUUGAAGGUUGAGUAACAUCAACUGGAGGACCGAACCGACUAAUGUUGAAAAAUUAGCGGAUGACUUGUGGCUAGGGGUGAAAGGCCAAUCAAACCUGGAGAUAGCUGGUUCUCCCCGAAAGCUAUUUAGGUAGCGCCUCGGACGAAUACUACUGGGGGUAGAGCACUGUUAAGGCUAGGGGGUCAUCCCGACUUACCAACCCUUUGCAAACUCCGAAUACCAGUAAGUACUAUCCGGGAGACACACGGCGGGUGCUAACGUCCGUCGUGGAGAGGGAAACAACCCAGACCGCCAGCUAAGGUCCCAAAUUACUACUAAGUGGGAAACGAUGUGGGAAGGCUCAGACAGCCAGGAUGUUGGCUUAGAAGCAGCCAUCAUUUAAAGAAAGCGUAAUAGCUCACUGGUCGAGUCGGCCUGCGCGGAAGAUGUAACGGGGCUAAGUAGUAAACCGAAGCUGCGGCAAUACUCUUUGAGUAUUGGGUAGGGGAGCGUUCUGUAAGCGGUUGAAGGUGUGUGGUAACGCAUGCUGGACGUAUCAGAAGUGCGAAUGCUGACAUGAGUAACGAUAAAGGGGGUGAAAAACCUCCUCGCCGGAAGACCAAGGGUUCCUGUCCAACGUUAAUCGGGGCAGGGUAAGUCGACCCCUAAGGCGAGGCCGAAAGGCGUAGUCGAUGGGAAACGGGUUAAUAUUCCCGUACUUCUUACAAUUGCGAUGGGGGGACGGAGAAGGCUAGGUGGGCCUGGCGACGGUUGUCCAGGUUCAAGUGCGUAGGCUUGAGAGUUAGGUAAAUCCGGCUCUCUCUAAGGCUGAGACACGACGUCGAGCACCUACGGGUGUGAAGUCAUUGAUGCCAUGCUUCCAGGAAAAGCCUCUAAGCUUCAGAUUGUAAGGAAUCGUACCCCAAACCGACACAGGUGGUCGGGUAGAGAAUACCAAGGCGCUUGAGAGAACUCGGGUGAAGGAACUAGGCAAAAUGGUACCGUAACUUCGGGAGAAGGUACGCUCUUGAUGGUGAAGUCCCUUGCGGAUGGAGCUGACGAGAGUCGCAGAUACCAGGUGGCUGCAACUGUUUAUUAAAAACACAGCACUGUGCAAAAUCGUAAGAUGACGUAUACGGUGUGACGCCUGCCCGGUGCCGGAAGGUUAAUUGAUGGGGUUAGACUUCGGUCGAAGCUCUUGAUCGAAGCCCCGGUAAACGGCGGCCGUAACUAUAACGGUCCUAAGGUAGCGAAAUUCCUUGUCGGGUAAGUUCCGACCUGCACGAAUGGCGUAAUGAUGGCCACGCUGUCUCCACCCGAGACUCAGUGAAAUUGAAAUCGCUGUGAAGAUGCAGUGUACCCGCGGCUAGACGGAAAGACCCCGUGAACCUUUACUACAGCUUGGCACUGAACAUUGACCCUACAUGUGUAGGAUAGGUGGGAGGCUUUGAAGCACGUACGCCAGUAUGUGUGGAGCCGUCCUUGAAAUACCACCCUUGUAGUGUUGAUGUUCUAACGUCGACCCCUUAUCGGGGUUGCGGACAGUGCCUGGUGGGUAGUUUGACUGGGGCGGUCUCCUCCCAAAGAGUAACGGAGGAGCACGAAGGUGGGCUAAUCACGGUUGGACAUCGUGAGGUUAGUGCAAUGGCAUAAGCCCGCUUGACUGCGAGAAUGACAAUUCGAGCAGGUGCGAAAGCAGGUCAUAGUGAUCCGGUGGUUCUGAAUGGAAGGGCCAUCGCUCAACGGAUAAAAGGUACUCCGGGGAUAACAGGCUGAUACCGCCCAAGAGUUCAUAUCGACGGCGGUGUUUGGCACCUCGAUGUCGGCUCAUCACAUCCUGGGGCUGAAGUCGGUCCCAAGGGUAUGGCUGUUCGCCAUUUAAAGUGGUACGCGAGCUGGGUUUAGAACGUCGUGAGACAGUUCGGUCCCUAUCUGCCGUGGGCGUUGGAAGAUUGAAGGGGGCUGCUCCUAGUACGAGAGGACCGGAGUGGACGAACCUCUGGUGUUCGGGUUGUGUCGCCAGACGCAUUGCCCGGUAGCUAAGUUCGGAAUCGAUAACCGCUGAAAGCAUCUAAGCGGGAAGCGAGCCCUGAGAUGAGUCUUCCCUGAUACUUUAAGUAUCCUAAAGGGUUGUCGGAGACUACGACGUUGAUAGGUCAGGUGUGUAAGUGCUGUGAGGCAUUGAGCUAACUGAUACUAAUUGCCCGUGAGGCUUAACCAU
rnacentral:rRNA from 1 species